rnacentral:rRNA from 1 species
GACGAACGCUGGCGGCGUGCUUAACACAUGCAAGUCGAACGGGCCCGCCCCUGUUUUUGGGGGUGGGUUGAGUGGCGAACGGGUGAGUAUCACGUGAGUAACCUGCCCCCUGCUCCUGGAUAACUGCUUGAAAGGGCGGCUAAUACGGGGUGUGCCGGCUGGUCCGCAUGGGCCUGGUCGGGAUAGUCUCAUCUUCGGGUGUUUCGGUGGGGGAUGGGCUCGCGGCCUAUCAGCUUGUUGGUGGGGUGAUGGCCCACCAAGGCGGUGACGGGGAGCCGGCCUGGGAGGGUGGGCGCCCACACUGGGACUGAGACACGGCCCAGCCUCCGGCGGGAGGCAGCAGUGGGGGGUAUUGCACAAUGGGCGGAUGCCUGAUGCAGCGACGUCGCGUGAGGGAUGGAGGCCUUCGGGUUGUGACCCUCUUUCUCCGGUGGUGAAGGCCCUGUCCGUUGCGGCGGGGUUGACGGUAGCCGGGUAUGAAGCGCCGGCUAACUACGUG